rnacentral:rRNA from 1 species
AUUGAACGCUGGCGGCAGGCUUAACACAUGCAAGUCGAACGAGUGGCGGAAGGGUGUGUAAUGCUUGGGAAUGUAGCUUAUGGAGAGCGAUCACUACGGGAAGCUAUAGCUACAACCGCCUACCUUAGGAUGAGCCCAAGUGGGAUUAGGUAGUUGGUGAGGUAAAGGCUCACCAAGCUGACGAUCUCUAGCUGGUCUGAGAGGAUGAACAGCCACACGGGGACUGAGAGUCGGCCCAGACUCCUACGGGAGGCAGCAGUGGGGAAUAUUGCGCAAUGGGGGAAAGCUGACGCAGCCAUGCCGCGUGAAUGAAGAAGGCCUUCGGGUUGUAAAGUUCUUUCGGUAGCGAGGCGUUACCAACAGAAGAAGCACCGGCUAACUCCGUGCCAGCAGCCGCGGUAAUAC